CGGGGUUUGGCGCAGUUGGUAGCGCGCUACGUUCGGGACGUAGAGGUCGCAAGUUCGAAUCUUGUAACCCCGACCA
rnacentral:tRNA from 1 species